rnacentral:rRNA from 1 species
UACGAAGGGGGCUAGCGUUGCUCGGAAUCACUGGGCGUAAAGCGCACGUAGGCGGCCACUUAAGUCGGGUGUGAAAGCCCUCGGCUUAACCGAGGAAGUGCAUUCGAAACUGGGUGGCUUGAAUACUGGAGAGGAUGGCGGAAUUCCCGGUGUAGAGGUGAAAUUCGUAGAUAUCGGGAGGAACACCAGCGGCGAAGGCGGCCAUCUGGACAGAUAUUGACGCUGAGGUGCGAAAGCGUGGGGAGCAAACAGG